rnacentral:rRNA from 1 species
GAUGGUUGUUUGAACCGCAUGGUUCAAACAUAAAAGGUGGCUUCGGCUACCACUUACAGAUGGACCCGCGGCGCAUUAGCUAGUUGGUGAGGUAACGGCUCACCAAGGCGACGAUGCGUAGCCGACCUGAGAGGGUGAUCGGCCACACUGGGACUGAGACACGGCCCAGACUCCUACGGGAGGCAGCAGUAGGGAAUCUUCCGCAAUGGACGAAAGUCUGACGGAGCAACGCCGCGUGAGUGAUGAAGGUUUUCGGAUCGUAAAGCUCUGUUGUUAGGGAAGAACAAGUACCGUUCGAAUAGGGCGGUACCUUGACGGUACCUAACCAGAAAGCCACGGCUAACUACGUGCCAGCAGCCGCGGUAAUACGUAGGUGGCAAGCGUUGUCCGGAAUUAUUGGGCGUAAAGGGCUCGCAGGCGGUUUCUUAAGUCUGAUGUGAAAGCCCCCGGCUCAACCGGGGAGGGUCAUUGGAAACUGGGGAACUUGAGUGCAGAAGAGGAGAGUGGAAUUCCACGUGUAGCGGUGAAAUGCGUAGAGAUGUGGAGGAACACCAGUGGCGAAGGCGACUCUCUGGUCUGUAACUGACGCUGAGGAGCGAAAGCGUGGGGAGCGAACAGGAUUAGAUACCCUGGUAGUCCACGCCGUAAACGAUGAGUGCUAAGUGUUAGGGGGUUUCCGCCCCUUAGUGCUGCAGCUAACGCAUUAAGCACUCCGCCUGGGGAGUACGGUCGCAAGACUGAAACUCAAAGGAAUUGACGGGGGCCCGCACAAGCGGUGGAGCAUGUGGUUUAAUUCGAAGCAACGCGAAGAACCUUACCAGGUCUUGACAUCCUCUGACAAUCCUAGAGAUAGGACGUCCCCUUCGGGGGCAGAGUGACAGGUGGUGCAUGGUUGUCGUCAGCUCGUGUCGUGAGAUGUUGGGUUAAGUCCCGCAACGAGCGCAACCCUUGAUCUUAGUUGCCAGCAUUCAGUUGGGCACUCUAAGGUGACUGCCGGUGACAAACCGGAGGAAGGUGGGGAUGACGUCAAAUCAUCAUGCCCCUUAUGACCUGGGCUACACACGUGCUACAAUGGACAGAACAAAGGGCAGCGAAACCGCGAGGUUAAGCCAAU